rnacentral:lncRNA from 1 species
CUCCAGGGGUGCGUGACAGGUUGGGAGCUGUGGUGGGUCCAGGCAGAAAUGGCUUCCCUGGGAAGUUGCGGAAGAGGCGUCUCUGGAGACGUGCUUCGUGAGGAGAGAAGCUGAAGUGUUGCAAACAACACUGGUUGGGUUGUUUCCUGUCAGUUAUGGAGUGAUGAGGUCACGCACUUCAUUCUGGCCAGUCAUUAAUAUGAUUUGGCAUUCUCUGCAUGCCAGGCAAGAGUGACUGCUCUUCAGGCCAGAUCUUCCUUCGAGAUGGAUGUUAUCUCCUUUUUAGGAAGGAGGAAACAGAGAGACCUCGUAACUUGGCAUGGCCACACAAUGGGAAUAAACUGAGUGACCAAGAGGCUGAAUAUCUUCUCCAAAGCCAAAGAACCAGGCAGUGGCAGAGAUCCAAACCCAAGCGAUUUGGGUGCCAGGGCUCAAGCACUUCCCCAUGCAGCCACUGCCUCGAGAAAUAAAAAGACUCACCAGACACUU